rnacentral:tRNA from 1 species
GGCUUCGUAAUUCAGUGGUAGAAUGCCUGCUUUACAUUUGUGAUUCGCAGUAUGUCGCGGGUUCGAACCCCGUCGAGGUCA